rnacentral:rRNA from 1 species
UACGAAGGGAGCUAGCGUUGUUCGGAAUCACUGGGCGUAAAGUGCACGUAGGCGGAUUUGCCAGUCAGGGGUGAAAUCCCGGGGCUCAACCUCGGAACUGCCUUCGAUACAGCAAGUCUUGAGUUCGAGAGAGGUGGGUGGAAUUCCUAGUGUAGAGGUGAAAUUCGUAGAUAUUAGGAAGAACACCGGUGGCGAAGGCGGCCCACUGGCUCGACACUGACGCUGAGGUGCGAAAGCGUGGGGAGCAAACAGG